rnacentral:rRNA from 1 species
AAACAUCGCCUCUUGACCAAAUAUAGGAGGUCCAGCCUGCCCAGUGAUAAAAUUCAACGGCCGCGGUACCCUAACCGUGCGAAGGUAGCAUAAUCACUUGUUCUCUAAAUAGGGACUAGUAUCAACGGCACCACGAGGGCUGUACUGUCUCCUUUCUCCCAUCAGUGAAACUGAUCUCCCCGUGAAAAAGCGGGGAUUAUUAUAUAAGACGAGAAGACCCCAUGGAGCUUUAAACUCAUCACCCACUUCCUCACUUCUAUACCCAACUAUAUAAGGAACCUGAGUGAUAGUUUUGGGUUGGGGGGACCACGGAGUACAAUUUAACCUCCAUGACAAAUGGGCUACGCCCUUAUCUACGAACUACAACUCUAAGAAUCAUAAGCUGAUGUUUAAUGACCCGAUAAUUCGAUCAACGAACCAAGUUACCCUGGGGAUAACAGCGCAAUCUACUUUAAGAGCCCCUAUCGACAAGUAGGUUUACGACCUCGAUGUUGGAUCAGGGCAUCCUAGGGGUGCAGCCGCUCCUAAUGGUUCGUUUGUUCAACGAUAGCUCUACCUUAGCUUCUUGAUUAUACCAAAAACCCCUUAAAACUUAAGAGCCAUUCAAAUAAGGCACAGCUUAUUUGAAAUAGGACACAACCUCUGACACCGGGUAAAUAAAGGUGAUUCAAACAAAGUCGGCCUAAAAGCAGCCACCUUUAAAAAAGCGUUAAAGCUUAAUUUUAAACUACCCAUAAUUCCCUAAAUUCCCAUUAACCCUUCACCACUACUGAACUAUUUUAUACUCUAUAAAAGCUAUUAUGCUAGAACUAGUAACAAGAAAUAGUCCUUCUCCAAAAUGUAAGCUUAUACCAAAAUGGACAAUCCAUUGGUAACUAACGCAAAUGCCAUAAUCACAGCAACAUACCUCUAGAAAACCCUGUGACCUCUUACGUUACCCUUACACUUGAACAUUUCAGGAAAGAUCAAAAGAGAAAGAAGGAACUCGGCAAAUCCUCAGCCCCGCCUGUUUACCAAAAACAUCGCCUCUUGACCAAAUAUAGGAGGUCCAGCCUGCCCAGUGAUAAAAUUCAACGGCCGCGGUACCCUA